AUGAGAAUUCUGUUGAAAUCAACAGAACUUAAUAUAGAAAUGCCAUCUUUGCAGAAACAGCAUCAAGAUCAGAGCUCAAGUGACAGCAAGCUGGAAACAGGCUGUAAUGAGCUGAAGAGAAGGAACACAAAGGUAUUUCAGCUUUCAGGACAGACUGUGAGACUACCUUCAAGCAAUGCUUGCUCUUUCAGAUCUGAGCUGGUGGCCCCCCAGGAGCUCUUCCGACAAGCACCCGUGGGCAGCAGCAGCGCUGUGAGCCCCCCAGCCCCUGCUAACCCCUCAGAGUUCUAUAAUGCCUGCAAUGCCAUUGUGUAG
rnacentral:lncRNA from 1 species